rnacentral:misc_RNA from 1 species
GAUGAAGAACGCAGCGAAAUGCGAUAAGUAGUGUGAAUUGCAGAAUUCAGUGAAUCAUCGAAUCUUUGAACGCACAUUGCGCCCCUCGGUAUUCCGUGGGGCACGCCUGUUCGAGCGUCAUUUACACCCUCAAGCGCAGCUUGGUGUUGGGCGUCUGUCCCGCUCUCCGUAGCGCGGACUCGCCUCAAAGUCAUUGGCGGCGGUCGUGCCGGCUCCUCGCGCAGCACAUUUGCGCUUCUCGGAGGCCCGGUGGAUCGGCAUCCAGCAAGCUACUUUUUAUGACUUGACCUCGGAUCAGGUGAGGAUACCCGCUGAACUUAAGCAUAUCAAUAAGCGGAGGA